rnacentral:sRNA from 2 species
AGACCUGACGCGCCAAAUCCUGUCCAGCAGGUCCCCGGAUACGACCCCGAGCGGAAAGACAACUUCUGGACAGGAGCGUGAGAGCACUCCGGGCGUCCCGAAACGCCCUAGGGGUGAAGCCGGUCCCGACCGGCCGGGCACUCCCCGACAGAGCCCGAACCCGACAGCUCACUCGCAGGUGCGGUAGGAGAGAGAGA